UGGGGGGUGUGAGACAGCAAGGGUGAGCUCACACAUGUUCAUCGCUCAACAAGUUGUGGGGAAUAAUGUGGCAUGAACUCACCAAAGGUGGGAUGGGAGCUCAUGAAGUGUAAAGCUUAUCAAAGAAAAUGGUUAAAGCUGAGCAUUGCUUUUAAUGUUGGUCAAACUUUUAUUAGCAAUUACUAGAUGUAAGUAAAUACCAAACCAUAAUAAAUAAUAGAACAAAAAUUAAUAAAUAAUCCCAUGCAAAUGCAAAUGACAAAUUGAAUUUAAGUUCCAUAAAUUAAUCAUGUGAGGGUCCGAGCCGCUCAUGACCGUGAGCACGGCUAGUAUACUAGUUUUACACUCUGCAGAGGUUGCGCAUCUUUACCCACAAGCCGUGUUACCCAUCUGCCAAGGGGUCAUGAAUCCCAUACACCUCUAUCAAGGAAGCGAGGCAGGGUAACACUACGAGGCCUUUACAAAGUUCCACUAGCUUCAGAAAUCCCGCUACAGUUUAUAUGAAGCUCCAAUGCAGGGUUCUUGCCUGACCGCCAUCGCAGCAAAGUCAACCCAAGGACCUCCCUACACUGACCACUCCCUUACUGCCCUUGCCCCUUUCGGGUAAGGAAGACCUCCACUAGCUUUCCUAGUUAAUCAGCCAAGGGCGUCCCAUUAAACCCUUGUGGUAGCACUGUUUUCCCGGGUGGUCGCUCCAUGUUCCAAUUAACUUAAUGAUCUUAUCAUGAACAUAAAUAACAUAACAGAAUAAUUGGAACAUGGAUGUAAUAAAAUAUUAUCCCAAAACCAUAUAAAGCAAUAGCAUAACUACCCAAUUGAUUCAGGGCUAAACAAGGUAAACAGGAUAAACAAAAUAGGGUGACCUAUUGGGUCCCAUCAAAGUUAAACCUAUGCAUUGAAUAGUGAUAAUAAAGAAUAUUAUUGGGUAAUAAAUGUGAUCAAGGGCACAACUUGUCUGACACUUGAGAUUCCAGUUACCAGGGUGAUUCUUCAGAUCCUCGUAACCUCGCGCUAGUCGUAGCAAUACAAGCAAACAUGGUAUAGAUAAAAUUAACAUCACACCAUACAUAAGUACAAACUGAAUAAUAAUGAUUUACGCGAAGCUACGAGAUCGCGGGAUCGAGAACUACUAAGAUCGGAGUUACGGGUAAGGAGUUAUGAUCUAUAAGAGCUCUACGUGAUUUAAAUACUAAACUUAUAUUAUAAAUUGGUUGGUAUAGAUCAUAUGAGAAAUUAUUCUAUAAAUAAUUAUCUCAACUUUAAUCUAUGUCCUUAUUUGAUUAAAGAUUAUCUAGUUAAUUCAUAACAAUAAAGUUAGAAUACUAUAUUAAUAUUAAAGAAGUUAAUCCAAUUUAACAUAGGAUAAAAAAAUAUCUAAUUAUAAAAGUAUGAGACAUGGUAUAAUAAAUGUUGUUACUGCGUAGUAAAUAUUUAUACGAAGCUAACGCAACUGGAAUGAGUCAAAUCGGAUUUAAAAUGGAGGAGAUAUGAAUUUUCCUAAGAUUCAUGAAUUAUUCUUAUAGUUAAAAUCAAUUUCCAAGUUUAUUUUAUUAUUUCUGAACUGGUUGGACUACGACUGUGAAUUCCAGAGAGCACAAGGUCUACUACAUAAAUAGUUCCAAGACUCAGAACAACAUCAGCAUGGACGGCGGGUUGAAUACUGGAAACCAGGGGGUUUCUUAUGUAAAAGUCGCGAGGCCGAAGGGGGUACAGCAAACUGUGGCUGUCAGAUCUCAAUUCAAGGGUGCAGAUUAGAAACUCUAGCUCCGAACCGGUAUGCCCAGAUGUCCGUUAGAUCAGAGAUCCACGGCGCUGAGUUAAAGUGUUCGAGAUCGAAUCUAGUUCACAGGAUCCAGAUCGGACGACGUAGGUUUAACGACACGAAGAGGUAUGCGCCGAACCCAUCCUGACCAUACGACCAGGAUCCAAUGGCUCAGGUGCUUCACCCUCCCGGCGCCACAGGUCACGGCGGCGCCGCCCGCAGACUGUGGCGGAUUGCCGCCGGCGCGCAACGUUUCCGAGUUCCAGUGCCCCACAACGAAAUCCUAUGGUGCUAUACGAAUAGGAGUAGCUUGGCGAACGUGGUCACGGGCUACUUACCGGCAGUCGGGUUGAGCAGUGGGCUGGCGACGGUGUUCCGCGGCGCCGCGGCAGCGAAGCAACUAUGGCGAGCGAUUCAACACGCACCCGAGGACUUUCCCGCUAGCCAAGGCCCGAGCACAAUCCUGGGGGCACGGUGGAGUUGUUUGUUCCGUUAGCGAGUCCCCCACGACGCCAUGGGCAUGCCACACAGCGGUGGUCGAAUAUCUGAAACCCAGCGGCUUUGGAUUUAUACCCAGAUGGCGCCCAAAUUCCGAGUCGGAGCACGCCGCGAGAUCCGCGAUGGUUUGGUGAACUGCUCGCGCCGAAUCAACGUGAGCGGCGGAGUUUGUUGGGCGGCUUACCGAGGGCGCGUUUGUAGCGGACCAGCAAGGUCCCUGAGGUUCGCGGCACGAUUUGUGGCCUGGCGGCCACCUGGAUCGAGCGGAGGACGGUAAGCUCCCAUCCGUGAGGUCCCAACAAGCAGAGACACAGUGACAGGAGCGCUAGAUCAACGGGGAUAGCGGGGAUUUGGUCACUGGCUUUGUCGCGCGUUUGUUACGACCUGAGAAGAAAGAGCUGAGCCAGGAUUUUGCGGACGGGAAUUGAGAGGAUCACGGUGCUUUCUGUUGGGGAAGAAACGACUGACAAGGCGACCCCACCUGGCAGAGACCACGAAACCGGACGCGCGCGCACGGGGAGAGAAACAGAGGCUGGCGUGUGGGUCAGAUCUGACGACACUAAAAGUGGGCUGCGUGGGGUCAACUGCGUAGGCCGCACGGUGGGAUUGAAGAUGGGCCGAGACUAGAGGAUCGAGCCCAGCCACCGUUUUUCUUUUUCUGAUUUUCUUUUUUUUCCUUUUAUUUUCAAUUCUCAAUUUGAAUUUCAAAUAUGAUUGUGAAUUUCGUACUCAAGUUAAAGGUAGAAUUUAAUCGUACCAGUAUGGAUUUCAUUUUGUAUUGUGUAGUAUUUUUCUCUUCCCUUUAUAUAUCAUUUCCAUUUGCUAAAGUGUAAAUUAGGAUAAAUCCCAAUUUGGACAUUACCAUUUAUUAAUAUUAAAUGCACAACCAAAUAAACUCCAUCAUGAUGCAUGGAUUAUUUAUGUUUUAUUAGAGAAUUAUUUACUUUUAAAUAUGUUUUCUUAAAAAUUCUCAUGAGUAGAAGACAAUGCACAUAAAGAUCUAUCCUUCUUUUAUAUUCCAAAGUUUGGGUAUUACAAAUCCUACCCCCCCUUAACAGAAAUCUCGUCCUCGAGAUUUGUAAGGACAGGGAUGUAAAAAGCUUUAUUUAUAGUUUAACCUUUAACUUCUAAUUAAUAAUAGGUUUCAUGUUAUUUAGAAAGUGGUUAUGAAAGCAUGGGUAUAUAUAUGUAUAGUCACCAAAUGUGUAAGAAAAAAAUGUCUUUAAAGCAUGGAUAGGCUUGGGUAGGACAUAGUAGGGUAAGGAAGGACUCCAUCAUGCAUAGCGAAUCUUGAUUCCUUUGGUGGUCCAACUUGAUCUUUGAAGACUUGAGGUGAUGCUUAUCCUCCCUGGACGUGGUUGGUCUUCUUUGGCCCUCAAUCCUGGAGUUGCCAUCCGAGUUAAGGACAUAUAGUUAGGAUAGCCGGGGUACACGAGGUGGGUAGGUUUGGACAGAGUUUUACUUUGCUUUUUGAACAAAUGGAUUAGGCAACCUAUGAUGUAGGUUAGGUUGUUGUUUACGGACAAGUUAGUCCAAUGUAUUAAUUUAGGGUAAGAUAUGUUUAUAGAAUUAGGGCCUAAUUUUUGUCGCCAACAUUAUCUAACUUAUUUAAGUAACUCAAUUUGGAUUAGAUCAUGUUAGAUUAGGUUGGAUCUAGAUCAAAUUGAAAUAAGAUAAAAUCUUUUCAAGAUAAGAUGAAUCUAUUAAGAUAAGAAAGAAUCUUGUAAGAUAAGAUGGAUUUAUUAAAAUAUAUUCUAGUGGGGGAUAUUCUUAGUUGAUUUAGUUUAUCUUAUAAAUAUAUCUAGUUUAAUAGAUCCAUUUUUAAUAAAGAAUAUUCUAUGUUGUCUAUUUUAUAAAUAUUUUCCCUUAUAUCUAGGUGUAUAUGUAGAUGCAAUUGUGGACAUUACUCCACAACUCAUCACACUCAAUCAAAGAUCCAAAUCAGACAAGUAUCAUAAGAACAAACAUUCAAGUUCAUAGAUAUAAAAAAAUAGUUUUGUUUUUGUUCAUAAGAGUAGGUCUUCUAUUCCUAAAAGUCACUUUAAGCACAGGAUUUCAAAGUGUGAAAUCCAAGUUUGUCUUUAGAAGGAAAAAGGUAAGAAUAAUCCGAGUAUAGCGGAAAUAGAUAAGAAUAGAUUAAGAAAAGUCUAGAAAAGAAUCAGAGUAGCAAAGGUAAGUAGACAAUGGUUGUCCGGUUCUAUCUAGGUUUCGUCCUACAGUCAACAUUCCUCUGAUACCACUUCUGUCACACCCGGUUUUAAGGGACAAAGCCGGGUGCAUCUCAUACAUGCGCCAAAGAAGACAACAUAUAUAAUCACAGAGUGUAUAGAGACAAAUGUCACAAUAAUCGGAGUACUUAUUACAUAGCGGAAGACUUACAAAAUAAAAGAUAAAUAUAACAGGAUCUAUAAUCCAUCCUUGGCGCCAGAAAGUCAACUGGGAGACGCCUCCUAGAUCGAAUCGAAUUCCUCGAUAUGCGGCUCCUUUUGAACCACCUUUUCUUCUCCUGUGGGGGGGUGUGAGACAGCAAGGGUGAGCUCACACAUGUUCAUCGCUCAACAAGUUGUGGGGAAUAAUGUGGCAUGAACUCACCAAAGGUGGGAUGGGAGCUCAUGAAGUGUAAAGUUUAUCAAAGAAAAUGGUUAAAGCUGAGCAUUGCUUUUAAUGUUGGUCAAACUUUUAUUAGCAAUUACUAGAUGUAAGUAAAUACCAAACCAUAAUAAAUAAUAGAACAAAAAUUAAUAAAUAAUCCCAUGCAAAUGCAAAUGACAAA
rnacentral:lncRNA from 1 species